AAUAGAUACCCGGGUAGUCCACGCCGUAAACGAUGGGUACUAGGUGUGGGAGGUGUCGACUCCUCCCGUGCCGUCGCUAACGCACUAAGUACCCCGCCUGGGGAGUACGGCCGCAAGGCUAAAACUCAAAGGAAUUGACGGGGGGCCCGCACAAGCAGCGGAGCAUGUGGUUUAAUUCGACGCAACGCGAAGAACCUUACCUGGGCUUGACAUGUUGGUGACCGCCGUGGAAACACGGUUUUCCUUCGGGACACCAUCACAGGUGGUGCAUGGCUGUCGUCAGCUCGUGUCGUGAGAUGUUGGGUUAAGUCCCGCAACGAGCGCAACCCCGUUCCAUGUUGCCAGCAUUUAGUUGGGGACUCAUGGGAGACUGCCGGUGACAAACCGGAGGAAGGUGGGGAUGACGUCAAGUCAUCAUGCCCCUUAUGUCCAGGGCUACACACGUGCUACAUUGGCGCAUACAAAGGGCAGCAAUACCGCGAGGUGGAGCAAAUCCCAUAAAGUGCGCCUCGGUUCGGAUUGGAGGCUGAAACUCGCCUCCA
rnacentral:rRNA from 1 species